ACCUACGGGGGGCAGCAGUAGGGAAUUUUGCGCAAUGGGCGAAAGCCUGACGCAGCAACGCCGCGUGAUUGAUUAAGUAUUUCGGUAUGUAAAGCUCUGUCAGCAGGGAAGAAAAUGACGGUACCUGACCAAGAAGCCCCGGCUAACUACGUGCCAGCAGCCGCGGUAAUACGUAGGGGGCAAGCGUUAUCCGGAUUUACUGGGUGUAAAGGGCGUGCAGCCGGAGAGACAAGUCAGAUGUGAAAUCCACGGGCUCAACCCGUGAACUGCAUUUGAAACUGUUUCCCUUGAGUGUCGGAGAGGUA
rnacentral:rRNA from 1 species